UCCUGUAGCAAUACAGGGAAACGUCUAGCGGCGAACGGGUGCUUAACACGUGGGCAACCUGCCAAGAAGUGGGGGAUAGCUCGCCGAAAGGCGAAUUAAUACCGCAUGUGAUUAGAGUGGACAUCCGUUCAAAAUCAAAGUCGGGGCAACCUGACGCUUCUUGAGGGGCCCGCGGCCUAUCAGCUAGUUGGUGAGGUAACGGCCCACCAAGGCUUUGACGGGUAGCUGGUCUGAGAGGACGACCAGCCACACUGGGACUGAGACACGGCCCAGACACCUACGGGUGGCAGCAGUCGAGAAUUUUUCUCAAUGGGGGAAACCCUGAAGGAGCGACGCCGCGUGGAGGAUGAAGGUCUUCGGAUUGUAAACUCCUGUCAUUGGGGAACAAUGCGUAAAUAUUAACUGUAUUUGCGUUGAUAGUACCCGAAGAGGAAGAGACGGCUAACUCUGUGCCAGCAGCCGCGGUAAUACAGAGGUCUCAAGCGUUGUUCGGAUUCAUUGGGCGUAAAGGGUGCGUAGGCGGCGCGGUAAGUCGGGUGUGAAAUCUCGGAGCUUAACUCCGAAACUGCAUUCGAUACUGCCGUGCUUGAGGACUGGAGAGGAGACUGGAAUUCACGGUGUAGCA
rnacentral:rRNA from 1 species